UACGUAGGGAGCAAGCGUUGUCCGGAAUCAUUGGGCGUAAAGCGCGCGUAGGUGGCCCCGUAAGUCCGCUGUGAAAGUCAAAGGCUCAACCUUUGAAAGCCGGUGGAUACUGUGGGGCUAGAGUACGGAAGAGGCGAGUGGAAUUCCUGGUGUAGCGGUGGAAUGCGCAGAUAUCAGGAGGAACACCAAUAGCGAAGCAGCUCGCUGGGACGUUACUGACACUGAGGCGCGAAAGCGUGGGAGCGAACAGG
rnacentral:rRNA from 1 species